rnacentral:rRNA from 1 species
GACGAACGCUGGCGGCGUGCUUAACACAUGCAAGUCGAACGGAAAGGCCCUGCUUUUGUGGGGUGCUCGAGUGGCGAACGGGUGAGUAACACGUGAGUAACCUGCCCUUGACUUUGGGAUAACUUCAGGAAACUGGGGCUAAUACCGGAUAGGAGCUCCUGCUGCAGGGUGGGGGUUGGAAAGUUUCGGCGGUUGGGGAUGGAUUCGCGGCUUAUCAGCUUGUUGGUGGGGUAGUGGCUUACCAAGGCUUUGACGGGUAGCCGGCCUGGGAGGGUGACCGGCCACAUGGGGACUGAGAUACGGCCCAGACUCCUACGGGAGGCAGCAGUGGGGAAUAUUGCCCAAUGGGCGGGAGCCUGAUGCAGCAACGCCGCGUGCGGGAUGACGGCCUUCGGGUUGUAAACCGCUUUCGCCUGUGACGAAGCGUGAGUGACGGUAAUGGGUAAAGAAGCACCGGCUAACUACGUG